GGGGAUGUAAUGGUUUCGACGGGAGUUCCAAAAACAGAAAUAGCCAUCCGCAGAACCUGUGAGCUGCGUUAAAAUCAUAGGAAACUUAAAAAAUAAACGACAAAGAAACAAAUUUAGUAGCAGCCUAAUUGCGCUGCUCGUCGGCCCCGAAUUACCGCAGUUCGGGUUACCGGCGUCGACUUUGCGGCCAACUUCCUUCCCAAGGCUUUGAGGGCGGGAAAGAUUUUAUUAAGCUACUGAAUUUUGCAGCCUGCCGAUAGGCGGCAGAAAGAGGGAAUGUUAAACUACCGGCUGUGAUGGGAGAAGUUUUUGCGGAGGGAUUUUCGGACAGGAGUUCGAUUCUCCUCAUCUCCA
rnacentral:sRNA from 1 species